UGGGGAAUAUUGCACAAUGGGCGCAAGCCUGAUGCAGCCAUGCCGCGUGUAUGAAGAAGGCCUUCGGGUUGUAAAGUACUUUCAGCGGGGAGGAAGGGAGUAAAGUUAAUACCUUUGCUCAUUGACGUUACCCGCAGAAGAAGCACCGGCUAACUCCGUUCCAGCAGCCGCGGUAAUACGGAGGGUGCAAGCGUUAAUCGGAAUUACUGGGCGUAAAGCGCACGCAGGCGGUUGAUUGAGUCAGAUGUGAAAUCCCCGGGCUUAACCCGGGAAUUGCAUCUGAUACUGGUCAGCUAGAGUCUUGUAGAGGGGGGUAGAAUUCCAUGUGUAGCGGUGAAAUGCGUAGAGAUGUGGAGGAAUACCGGUGGCGAAGGCGGCUCUCUGGUCUGUAACUGACGCUGAGGCUCGAAAGCGUGGGGAGCAAACAGG
rnacentral:rRNA from 1 species